GCACAAUGACGCGAUCAUUGC
rnacentral:misc_RNA from 1 species